GCCCUAGUAACGGCGAGUGAAGCGGCAACAGCUCAAAUUUGAAAUCUGGCUCUUUCAGAGUCCGAGUUGUAAUUUGCAGAGGGCGCUUUGGCUUUGGCAGCGGUCCAAGUUCCUUGGAACAGGACGUCACAGAGGGUGAGAAUCCCGUACGUGGUCGCUAGCUAUUGCCGUGUAAAGCCCCUUCGACGAGUCGAGUUGUUUGGGAAUGCAGCUCUAAUGGGAGGUAAAUUUCUUCUAAAGCUAAAUAUUGGCCAGAGACCGAUAGCGCACAAGUAGAGUGAUCGAAAGAUGAAAAGCACUUUGGAAAGAGAGUCAAACAGCACGUGAAAUUGUUGAAAGGGAAGCGCUUGCAGCCAGACUUGCUUGCAGUUGCUCAUCCGGGCUUUUGCCCGGUGCACUCUUCUGCAGGCAGGCCAGCAUCAGUUUGGGCGGUGGGAUAAAGGUCUCUGUCAUGUACCUCUCUUCGGGGAGGCCUUAUAGGGGAGGCGACAUACCACCAGCCUAGACUGAGGUCCGCGCAUCUGCUAGGAUGCUGGCGUAAUGGCUGUAAGCGGCCCGUCUUGAAACACGGACCAAGGAGUCUAACAUCUAUGCGAGUGUUUGGGUGUCAAGCCCGAGCGCGUAAUGAAAGUGAACGGAGGUGGGAACCCCGCAAGGGUGCACCAUCGACCGAUCCUGAAGUUUACGGAAGGGAUUUGAGUAAGAGCAUGGCUGUUGGGACCCGAAAGAUGGUGAACUAUGCUUGAAUAGGGU
rnacentral:rRNA from 1 species